AGCUCCAAUAGCGUAUACUAAAGUUGUUGCGAUUAAAAAGCUCGUAGUUGGAUCUCAGGCAUGGGCGCACGGUCCGCCUCGCGGCGGUCACUGUGUGUAUGUUUCCCAUCCUACGCUUCCCGGUUAUCAGCCCAUGGUGCUCUUGAUUGAGCGUUUUGGGUGGCCGGAACGUUUACUUUGAAGAAAUUAGAGUGUUCAAAGCAGGCUUGUGGGCCUGAAUAAUGGUGCAUGGAAUAAUGGAAUAGGACCUCGGUUCUAUUUUGCUGGUUUUCGGAACACGAGGUAAUGAUUAAGAGGGACAGACGGGGGCAUCCGUAUUGCGGUGUUAGAGGUGAAAUUCUUGGAUCAUCGCAAGACGAACUACUGCGAAAGCAUUUGCCAAGAAUGUUUUCA
rnacentral:rRNA from 1 species